rnacentral:lncRNA from 1 species
UUUGAAUCUUGAAGGAUUGUUGAAUUUAAUGGAUAUCUUAAGCUUAGCUAUAAUGUUUUACAUGAUAUGAUCUAUGAUGCUGUUUAGAUGCUUUCGGUUUGCACUAUCGUGUUCACAAUUGCUUGUAGGCAUAAGAAUUAUGUGUUGCAUUGCUUGAUAGGAAAUGUGGUCUUAAAAAGAGAAUUAUGUGGAAAAUGGAUUUAGACUGUACAAAACAUUGAUAAUCAAACUUUGGGAACACAUGGGUAUGCUAUAUAUAUAUAUAUAUAUAUAUAUAGCAAUAACGUGGCUAGUCUUAUUUCGGGGCCUUUGUUACUUGAGUAAGUACGCCCGUAGGGGUGUCUUAACACCUAGCGCCCUAAGGUCUUUUAUGGUCUGGGAGUCGUUGGUUGAAAGCUCGCUAAGGGAUAACAUUGUUAGCCUAAUGGAAUGAGGCAUUGCACAGUCAUGUGAAAAAAAUGAAAAAAAAAUAGCAAUAAACACCGCGGGAAAGAGCAAAAAUUGCCCUCGUCAGUAGAAAUAAAACAGUUAAACCCAUUGUUAAACCUCUGUUUGUUUUGAUAUGUUGGAACAGUCUUUGUUGCAUAACUAUACAUGAAUCUUGAUUUAGACUGCAAUUUUCUAUUUUGAGCAGUUUAGCAUGUGUAUUCUUUCUUUAAUCAAGUUGUGGUGAACACAAUACACACACACAACAUCUUUAUAGCAUAUAUGAAUUAUUUGAGUGUAUGAUAUUAUGCCUGUAGUUUGGUUUGAAUUUGUAUUCUCGAAUCUGGAUAAUUCGCUGAGGCAAUUAGGACUGAAAUUCUAUUUUAGCUGGAGAAUGUGAGACUCAUUUGCAUCGUAAUCUAGUUGCAUAGCAUAUAGUUACAUUUUUAGUGUUUUAUGUCGUAUGCAUUGCUUGAGGGCAAGAAAUAGUUCAAGUUUGGGGGUAUUUGAUAAGUAGGUUUUAUACCUACUUAUUGGAUAUCAAUUCAUGAGAACUAUGCCCAUCUCUGUUACAUUUUAGUGUGUUUUUAGUUGCAUUUCGUGUUAUUUUGCAUUGCAUGUACUGAGAACUCGUCUGGUGUGAAAAUGUAGGAAAUGGUAUAGCUCGGCGUUGAUAGGUGGCAUGAGAUCAGUGAAAGCAUGACACGAGGGUCGAGUGGAGAAAAGAAAUUAAGCAUUGAUGGACAAAGAAGAAAUAGUAGCAUGUCAAAGGAUCAUUAACAGCAUGAUAAGGAAGCAGCAAUAGCAGAACACAAGAAUGCAGAUUGCAGGAGCCACGCGGCCGCGCGACUGUAUAAGCUGGAACACGCGCGCUUGCGCCAUCAACCGAAAAGAGCUUAUUUUUCAUACACGUGCGCCC